GAAGGUAUAGCUCAAGUGGCAGAGCACAUGCUUAGCAUGCACAAAGUCCUGGGUUCAAUCCCCCGUACCUCCU
rnacentral:tRNA from 1 species